GCAGCUGUAGCUCAGUCGGUUAGAGCGCUUGAUUGUGGAUCAAGAGGUCGGAGGUUCAAUUCCCCCCAGCUGUACCA
rnacentral:tRNA from 1 species